rnacentral:rRNA from 1 species
CGGACGGGUGAGUAACGCGUGGGUAACCUGCCUCAUACAGGGGGAUAACAGUUAGAAAUGACUGCUAAUACCGCAUAAGCGCACGAGGAUGCAUGUUCUUGUGUGAAAAACUCCGGUGGUAUGAGAUGGACCCGCGUCUGAUUAGCUAGUUGGAGGGGUAACGGCCCACCAAGGCGACGAUCAGUAGCCGACCUGAGAGGGUGACCGGCCACAUGGGGACUGAGACACGGCCCAAACUCCUACGGAAGGCAGCAG